AUUGAACGCUGGCGGCAGGCUUCACACAUGCAAGUCGAGCGAGCGGCGGACGGGUGAGUAAUGUCUGGGAAACUGCCUGAUGGAGGGGGAUAACUACUGGAAACGGUAGCUCAUACCGCAUACCAUCAGAUGUGCCCAGAUGGUAGUCUGUAGUAGGUGGGGUGAUGUCUCACCUAGGCGACGAUCCCUAGCUGGUCUGAGAGGAUGACAGUCCAAACUGUAACUGUGACACGGUCUAGAGUCCUACGGUAGGCAGCAGGGGGGAAUAUGGCACAAUGGGCGAAAGCGUGAGGCAGCAAUGCCGCGUGGGUGAAGAAGUCCUUCGGGUUGUAAAGAACUUUCAGCGAGGAGGCGUGACUCGCAGAAGAAGCACCGGCUAACUCCGUGCCAGCAGCCGCGGUAAUAC
rnacentral:rRNA from 1 species